rnacentral:rRNA from 2 species
UCGGAGAGUUUGAUCCUGGCUCAGGAUGAACGCUGGCGGCGUGCCUAAUACAUGCAAGUCGAGCGAACUGAUUAGAAGCUUGCUUCUAUGACGUUAGCGGCGGACGGGUGAGUAACACGUGGGCAACCUGCCUGUAAGACUGGGAUAACUUCGGGAAACCGAAGCUAAUACCGGAUAGGAUCUUCUCCUUCAUGGGAGAUGAUUGAAAGAUGGUUUCGGCUAUCACUUACAGAUGGGCCCGCGGUGCAUUAGCUAGUUGGUGAGGUAACGGCUCACCAAGGCAACGAUGCAUAGCCGACCUGAGAGGGUGAUCGGCCACACUGGGACUGAGACACGGCCCAGACUCCUACGGGAGGCAGCAGUAGGGAAUCUUCCGCAAUGGACGAAAGUCUGACGGAGCAACGCCGCGUGAGUGAUGAAGGCUUUCGGGUCGUAAAACUCUGUUGUUAGGGAAGAACAAGUACAAGAGUAACUGCUUGUACCUUGACGGUACCUAACCAGAAAGCCACGGCUAACUACGUGCCAGCAGCCGCGGUAAUACGUAGGUGG